AAAUUGUUAAGCUUAUAAGUUUCUAAGCUUUUGAGAGAAGUGAGAGAAGUGUGUCUGGGGAAUUUAUCUUUCCUGCAGAGUGUGAGAGUACUGGGUAUAUUUGGGUUUCUGGGAAGUGAGAUUCGUUACUCAAAUAUUGUAUUCUAUUAAUUGUUAAAUAAACAAUUAUUCUUUCUUGCCUCCGUGGAUGUAGGUUUAAUUACCGAACCACGUAAAUUCUUGUGUCCUUUAUUUUUCAGUAAUUUUUGGUGCGCUUGAUUCCGCAUUCCGCAUUCCGCGCACAACAAUAUUGCCAUAUUAUCUUGUGAGAAAUUCUAGAGUAUAAUAUAGGUGCUACAUAUAACUAAUACAUAUAUGAUAUGUAUAGUUUAAUUAAAUAUAAUUAUUAAUUACAUAAUAAUUUUUUAAAAUAAGUACACAGAUAACAUAUAUAUAUAUAUUAAUUAGAUGUAAUACUUUUGGUAUACUCUACAAUCUCUCCUAACUUGUUUCUCUGUCUUCUUUGGUGGGCUAUUGCCAUUUAAUUGACAUCAUUUAUUCAUCUAUUCUAGAACUUGGACUCCAUCUGUUGGAGUUUUAUAGGAUGUGCUUUUGAAAAAUAAUUAAGGAAGUCCCUUUCCGGGCCCCAACGAGUUAAAAUUUUUUUAUGGUUAGUGAUGCAUGGAAAAAUUAAAACUAGAGAGGAGCUUUUUAAGAGGCAUAUUCUGGAUAAAAUGAAUUGUGAAAGAUGUGACCAUGAGAGAGAAAACGCGAUGCAUGCACUUAGGGACUGUUUUGUUGCAAAGAGAAUAUGGAAUUGUUUAAUUCCGGUCAACUUCAGACAUCAUUUUUUCUCCUUUAAUAUUCGUGAUUGGAUCUGUUUCAACUUGGGAAAGACUGGUAUCAAUGAAGUGGGGGAUGAAUGGGCAUGUUUAUUUGGAGUGGCUAUCUGGAAAAUUUGGUUUUGGCAUAAUCAAUUUCUUUUCUCACAAAAAUCGCCUUGCUGCACUCAUGUUGUUGCUGAAAUUAAAUCUUGGGCUCAGGACAUUCAAAAUGCACGAUCAACUCUUAGUUUCGGUCAGAGUAAUAAGAUCAUCAAAGAUGUUAGAUGGCAAGCUCCCCCUGAAUCUUUUUUCAAAUUAAAUACUGAUGGAUCACGAUUAAAGAAUGGUCUAGCCAGCGCUGGGGUCUUGGUGUGGGAUUGCUCUGGAAAGUGGCAGUUUGGCUUUGGCAUAAACAUUGGAUUUGGAUCGGUGACUACUGCAGAACUUUGGGGUCUUUUUCAAGGACUUAAUAUUGCUUGGGACCGUGGCAUUCGUUAUUUAAUUGCAGAGGUGGAUAGCCAAUGUNNNNNNNNNNNNNNNNNNNNNNNNNNNNNNNNNNNNNNNNNNNNNNNNNNNNNNNNNNNNNNNNNNNNNNNNNNNNNNNNNNNNNNNNNNNNNNNNNNNNNNNNNNNNNNNNNNNNNNNNNNNNNNNNNNNNNNNNNNNNNNNNNNNNNNNNNNNNNNNNNNNNNNNNNNNNNNNNNNNNNNNNNNNNNNNNNNNNNNNNNNNNNNNNNNNNNNNNNNNNNNNNNNNNNNNNNNNNNNNNNNNNNNNNNNNNNNNNNNNNNAUCGAUGUUGAAAAGUUUGAUGGGAAAAUCAACUUCGGCAUGUGGAGGCGCGAAGUUAUGGAUGAGCUUAUUCAAAUCGAUCUCGAUGUUGUUCUGAAAAAUAAAAGACACUUGUAUGAUGAAGAAAUUUGGGAUCGUAUGAACGAGAAAGCAUGUGGUCAAAUCAGAUCUUGUUUGACCAAGGAGGUGAAAUACUUAGUGAAAGAUGAGAAGUGUGCAGUGACUUUGUGGCGUACAUUGGAAGAGAAGUACCUGGUAAAAAGUCCUGAAAAUCGUCUUCAUGCAAUGAGCCAAGUAUAUGGCUUUCGAAUGAAGUCUGGGGUGUCAAUGCACGAUCAUGUUUCAAGAUUUGAAAAGUUACUUGCUGAUUUGAAGAAUCUUGAUGAAGAUAUUAAAGAUGAAGUCAAGGCUAUGAUUCUGUUACACUCACUACCAGAGGAAUAUAGCCAUUUUGUGACUACUUUGAUAUAUGGGAAGAGUGUGAUCGUCUUUAAAGAUGUUUGCACAGCAUUGACUAGCUUAGAGAUUCGGAAUAAUGAUAAAAAUUCUGAACGAGCAUCGUCUGAAGCUUUGGUGAGCAAAGAUUGGGCGAAGGAGAAACAGAAGAAGCGUGGUGGAAAGAAUUCUCGAUCCAAAUCGAGAAGCAGAAAUAUAGCUCGAGAUGAGUGUGCCUUUUGUCAUGAAAAGAGCCAUUGGAGAAAAGAUUGUCCAAAGGCUCAAAAGAGAGAUGGGAAGAAACCAGCAACAGCAAACAUGGCACGGAAAGAUGAGAACUCCGAUUAUUCACUAAGUAUUACUCCUGCAGCAUACGUGGCUAGUUCGAGUGAGUGGAUACUUGAUACUGGAGCAACCUAUCAUUUGUGUCCUAUUAAGGAAUGGUUUACAGAUUUUCGUAAUCUGGAAUCCGGUGCAGUUAUGAUGGGGAAUAAUCAACCUUGUUGUACAAUGGGGAUAGGAACAAUUUGGCUCAAAAUGUUUGAUGGAAUGGUCAGAGAACUCAAAGAGGUUAGAUUUGUUCCAGAGAUAAAGAAAAAUCUAAUUUCUGUGGGUGCUUUGGAAGCUAAAGGUUACAAAGUUACCAUUGAAGAUGGCACAAUGAAGUUUACACAUGGGGCUAUGGUGAUUCUGCAAGGGGUUCGGCGUCACAAUCUGUACUAUUUGAAGGGAGGUACAACUGAUGAAGCAAAUGUUGUUGAGGCGCACAGUGACACCACCAAGCUAUGGCAUGUACGACUGGGACAUGCAGGAGAGAAGUCUUUGUAAACUCUGAUGAGGCAUGGACUCUUAAAAGGUACCAAAACCUGUAAAUUAAAUUUCUGUGAGCAUUGUGUAGUAGGCAAGAAAACAAGGGUCAAGUUUGGUACAGCUAAUCACGAUACUCAUGAGAUCCUUGAAUAUGUUCAUAGUGAUGUAUGGGGACCAACCAAGACUGCAUCAAUUGGUGGAAGCCAUUAUUUUGUUACAUUUGUUGAUGAUUUCUCUAGACGUGUGUGGGUGUACACCAUGAGAGCAAAGGAUGAGGUUCUAGAGAUUUUCGUGAAAUGGAAGAAAUUGGUGGAGACUCAAACUGGCAGAAAGAUCAAAGUAUUACGAUCUGAUAAUGGGGGUGAAUAUACUUCUGAUCCAUUCUUGCAAGUAUGCCAGAACGAGGGUAUUAAAAGACAUUUCACGGUGAGACAUACUCCGCAACAGAACGGUGUGGCUGAGCGUAUGAAUCGUACUUUACUGGAGAAGGUACGGUGUAUGUUAUCUAAUGCUGGUUUAGAUAAAAAGUUUUGGGCUGAAGCUGUGAGCUACGCAAGUCACUUGGUAAACUGGUUGCCUUCUGCUGCAAUUGGAGGUAAAACUCCUAUGGAAAUGUGGUCUGGAAAGCAUGCACAAGACUAUGAUUCUCUUCGUAUAUUCGGGUGUCCAGCUUAUUAUCAUGUCAAAGAUGGUAAACUGGAUCCUCGUGCUAGAAAAUCUAUCUUUGUGGGAUUCAAAGGUGGAGUAAAGGGCUUCAAGCUUUGGGAUCUCGAAGACAAAAAGUUUGUGUGUAGCAGAGAUGUCACAUUUGAUGAAGCUUUAAUGAUAAAAGCUUCAAGUUCUCAGCAGGUGGAGAACAAGACCACAGAGGUAUUGCAGCGGGUGGAGUUUGAUGCAACUCCAUAUGUACCAGUUAGUUCUACAUCAAAGAAUGGUUCAACUAUGGAGGUGACACCUAAAGUUGAAGAAGAGGUUGUUUCUUCUGAUGUCCCACAAAAUGAAGAAACAAUUGAUGAUGUAGAUGAUGACGAUUUUAUAGCAACAAGGAGGCCAAGAAGAGAGAUAAAGAAACUCGGAUGGCUUACUAAAGAUAUGGUGGUAGCCGAUGCACUUCCAGUUAUUGAUGAUGACAUCCCCAAUACUUUCGGUGAAGCAUUACUCAGCAGUGAAAGUGAUCAGUGGAAGUUAGCCAUGGAGGAAAAGAUGAAAUCUCUCUAUCAAAACCAAACUUGGGAACUUGUAAAGUUACCAAAGGGGAAAAGAGCUAUUGGCAAUAAAUGGGUCUACACCAAAAAGCAAGGAUCUCCGAAUCAAACAACUCCUCGAUACAAGGCAAGGCUCGUGGCAAAAGGUUUUGCUCAAAAGGAAGGUAUUGACUACAAUGAAGUUUUCUCUCCAGUUGUAAAACAUACUUCCAUUCGUAUCCUACUUGCACUUAUAGCUUCGAAGAAUAGAGAUGAGAUCAAAAGAUUAAAGAAGCAGCUGGCUUCUGAGUUCGAGAUGAAAGACUUUGAUGAUGCACAGAAUAUACUUGGGAUGGAGAUUUGUAGAGACAAGAAGAAUGGGAGCGUAUGGUUGACUCAAAAGUCUUAUUUGAAGAAAGUGCUAGAAAGAUUCGGUAUGGAUGACAAAACUAAACCGAUAUGUACGCCUCUAGCUCUUCAUUUCAAAUUAAUCUCUUUUUCAUACCCUAGAUCUCAAAAAGAGUGCGAUUACAUGGCUCGUGUUCCAUAUGCUAGUGCUGUGGGUAGUCUUAUGUAUGCUAUGGUAUGUACAAGGCCCGAUAUAUCUCAAGCAGUAAGCAUGGUUAGUAGAUACAUGCACGAUCCGGGUAAAAGUCACUGGCUUACAGUAAAGUGGAUUCUUCGAUAUCUGUAUGGGACAGUUGAUGUUGGGUUAUUGUUCAAGAAGGAUUGUGGUCAACAAUGUGCUGAGUAUUGUGAUUCUGAUUUCGCUGGAGACCUUGACAAGCGAAGAUCAACAACGGGCUACGUAUUCACAUUGGGUGGAGGUCCGGUUAGCUGGAGGUCGAUUCUACAAUCGACAAUUGCUCUGUCCACUACGGAAGCAGAGUAUAUGGCAGCAACUGAAGCUGUAAAAGAAGCUAUCUGGUUGAAAGGCUUGUUAGGUGAUUUGGGAGUAAUCCAGGAGAACAUUACGGUCUUCUGUGAUAAUCAAAGUGCGAUAUUCCUUGGGAAGAAUCAAACAUAUCACGCUCGGACGAAGCACAUAGAUGUGAAAUAUCAUUAUGUGAGAGAGAUUAUCGAGAGCGGUGUUGUGUUGUUGAGAAAGAUCGAUACCAAAGAUAAUCCAUCAGAUAUGUUGACGAAAGUAGUUUCUGGAGUUAAGUUUCAACAUUGCUUGAAACUAAUUCAAAUCCUUCGAUUGUGUUAAAGAUAUGUCCUUCAGAAAUUUUGAACUACGGUUGGCUUGAUCCCAAAUUUUGGGUAUGUAGGCAGUCGAAACGACACAGCCAUUCUGGAUCCUUAUUGAAGGAUCACUUUGGGGAUGAGGGUUCGUUGGUAGUCGGCUCAGAUUUGGACAAAUUUUCGCCGAGGUGGAGAAUUGUUGAAAAGUCAUGCACGUGACAUUGAAAUUCAAAAAUGAAAUUUCGCCGAGGUAGAGAAUUGUUGAAAAGUCAUGCACGUGACAUUGAAAUUCAAAAAUGAAUGCAAAAUUUCAAAUGGCUACCAACAUUUGAAGAAAAAAUGGAAAGUUGGCAAAUUUGUCAAAUUUGCCAACUUUCCAUUUUUGACUAUUGGCUUAGGUUAGGUGGAAUAGUAAAGGGGUUGGUGCAAUAGUGCCAUUAUUUUCCCUAUAAAUAGAUGGCACUUCUUCCAUUCUAAAUAAUCCCAAAAUUGUUAAGCUUAUAAGUUUCUAAGCUUUUGAGAGAAGUGAGAGAAGUGUGUCUGGGGAAUUUAUCUUUCCUGCAGAGUGUGAGAGUACUGGGUAUAUUUGGGUUUAUGGGAAGUGAGAUUCGUUACUCAAAUAUUGUACUCUAUUAAUUGUUAAAUAAACAAUUAUUCUUUCUUACCUCCGUGGAUGUAGGUUUAAUUACCGAACCACGUAAAUUCUUGUGUCCUUUAUUUUUCAGUAAUUUU
rnacentral:lncRNA from 1 species